rnacentral:rRNA from 1 species
AUUGAAUGCUGGCGGCAGGCCUAACACAUGCAAGUCGAGCGGUAACACAGGGAGCUUGCUCCUGGGUGACGAGCGGCGGACGGGUGAGUAAUGUCUGGGAAACUGCCUGAUGGAGGGGGAUAACUACUGGAAACGGUAGCUAAUACCGCAUAACGUCGCAAGACCAAAGAGGGGGACCUUCGGGCCUCUUGCCAUCAGAUGUGCCCAGAUGGGAUUAGCUAGUAGGUGGGGUAACGGCUCACCUAGGCGACGAUCCCUAGCUGGUCUGAGAGGAUGACCAGCCACACUGGAACUGAGACACGGUCCAGACUCCUACGGGAGGCAGCAGUGGGGAAUAUUGCACAAUGGGCGCAAGCCUGAUGCAGCCAUGCCGCGUGUAUGAAGAAGGCCUUCGGGUUGUAAAGUACUUUCAGCGGGGAGGAAGGCGAUAAGGUUAAUAACCUUGUCGAUUGACGUUACCCGCAGAAGAAGCACCGGCUAACUCCGUGCCAGCAGCCGCGGUAA